UUCCACAAUUCCCACUACAGCAAAUACCAGGACAAGGCUCAGGUGCUUCAGGCCAACACCACCGUCCAAUGCAGGUCUCAGGAUUUCAACAAAGACAGCAUCGGGGACCUGAUGAAUGGGUUCGGCUACUCUGCCUCCAUCCAAGAGAGGAAGGUGCAUGAGGCCACUGACAAGAGACAGUGCAUCACUGAGAUAUCCCACAGAGCUGUCAGAUAGACUGUCCUUGCAGACCUUCUCCAACAGUGGAGGUUGUUCUCCAGAGCAAUGCAGCCUCUCAGUGCUGGUGGACAUGGUGUCAUUCACUGCCGGUGCCAUGGCAGCAGUGCUGCCGGGAUCACUUAAGUGUGUCCAAGUGAGUAUAAGUUUGCUGCAGCUGCCAUAACAUAGGACCCCACUGGGUGGUAUAUAGAGCAGACACACAUUUUUGCAAUUCCAGAGAAGAGGAGUUACAAGUGAGGGUGUCCCCAGCACAGAUUCCUUUUGAGGGGUUUCUCCCAUGCUCAUAGAAGGCCAUCUUCUGAC